rnacentral:rRNA from 1 species
UGGGGAAUAUUGCACAAUGGGCGAAAGCCUGAUGCAGCAACGCCGCGUGAGUGAUGAAGGUCUUCGGAUUGUAAAGCUCUGUCUUUUGGGACGAUAAUGACGGUACCAAAGGAGGAAGCCACGGCUAACUACGUGCCAGCAGCCGCGGUAAUACGUAGGUGGCGAGCGUUGUCCGGAUUUACUGGGCGUAAAGGGUGCGUAGGCGGAUGUUUAAGUGAGAUGUGAAAUACCCGGGCUUAACUUGGGUGCUGCAUUUCAAACUGGAUAUCUAGAGUGCAGGAGAGGAGAAUGGAAUUCCUAGUGUAGCGGUGAAAUGCGUAGAGAUUAGGAAGAACACCAGUGGCGAAGGCGAUUCUCUGGACUGUAACUGACGCUGAGGCACGAAAGCGUGGGUAGCAAACAGGAUUAGAUACCCUGGUAGUCCACGCCGUAAACGAUGAGUACUAGGGUGUAGGAGGUAUCGACCCCUUCUGUGCCGCAGUAAAC